AUACGGAAGGUCCGGGCGUUAUCCGGAUUUAUUGGGUUUAAAGGGAGCGCAGGCGGAGAUGCAAGCGUGACGUCAAAUUUCGGGGCUCAACCCCGUCUCGCGUCGCGAACUGCGUCCCUUGGUUGCGGGAAGGGGAGGCGGAACUCGGGGUGUAGCGGGGAAAUGCAUAGAUAUCACGAGGAACUCCGAUUGCGCAGGCAGCUUACUAAACUACUACUGACGCUCAGGCACGAAGGCGUGGGGAUCAAACAGGAUUAGAUACCCUGGUAGUCCACGCAGUAAACGAUGAAUACUUGUUUUCGGCGAUAUAAUGUCGGAGGCAAAGCGAAAGCGAUAAGUAUUCCACCUGGGGAGUACGCCGGCAACGGUGAAACUCAAAGGAAUUGGCGGGG
rnacentral:rRNA from 1 species